CCUACGGGGGGCAGCAGUGGGGAAUGUUGCACAAUGGGGGAAACCCUGAUGCAGCGACGCCGCGUGAGCGAUGAAGGCCUUCGGGUCGUAAAGCUCUGUCCUAAGGGAAGAUAAUGACGGUACCUUAGGAGGAAGCCCCGGCUAACUACGUGCCAGCAGCCGCGGUAAUACGUAGGGGGCGAGCGUUGUCCGGAAUUACUGGGCGUAAAGGGUGCGUAGGCGGUCAUGUAAGUCAGAUGUGAAAGCCCUCGGCUUAACCUGUGUAAGCAUUUGAAACUGUAUAGCUUGAGUCAAGGAGAGGGAAGUGGAAUUCCUGGUGUAGCGGUGAAAUGCGUAGGUAUCAGGAGGAAUACCAGUGACGAAGGCGACUUUCUGGACUUAGACUGACGCUGAGGUACGAAAGCGUGGGGAGCAAACAGGAUUAGAUACCCUUGUAGUC
rnacentral:rRNA from 1 species